rnacentral:lncRNA from 1 species
AGUAGUGGGAUUGCUGGAUCAAAUGGUUAGUUCUACUUUUAGUUCUUUAAGAAAUCUCCACACUGUUUUCCAUAGUGGCUGUAUAAAGUGAGUUGUUGGAAACAGGGCUAGAUAUUGUUUUUUAAAUCUUUAAUGUAGAAAAUCCAUUCCCAUUCCUUUACAUUUUAGUCAUGAACUUGUUGGGAGGUGGAAUCUUUUUCUCCCAGAUGUCUAUUCCUAGCUUUAUGCUUAAGUAAACUCUUUAAAACUGAAUUUCGGCCUGGUGCAGUGGCUCACGCCUAUAAUCUUAGCACUUUGGGAGGCCGAGGCGG